UUGAAACCAUUUCUCCAAUAGCAUGAGCUCACUUCAGGCAAAAGAGUCAACAGAAAAAUGGGCAAAAUAAUGGGCAGGCAUUUCAAAGAAGAGAAGAGGAGACAGGCAUAUGGGAGCAGUUCUAUUUGACAGAGAGACUACCAGCAAAAGAUGGAGCUCAGCAGUCCUCACCAUGCUGGAAAAGCAUGAAGAGUUGGAAGGAUGGAGACAUCGAAUUUGGGCAACAAUCCGAAGAUGGUAGAGCUGUGAAGAAGGUUGGGAUUUUUUUUCACAAUGAGUCAGAGAACUCAGAGAAAGAUAACUGUGAAGA
rnacentral:lncRNA from 1 species